UUGUUAAUGUUUGAUGGUGUGUGUUUGGUGCUGCUGUCCCUUGUUUCCCUGUGUACUGGUGUGUGUGUGUUUGUGUGUGUGUGUUGGGGGUGUCCUGGUUUUCCUGGCACGCCAGGCCUGGAGGGUUGUUCCCGUUGGAAGGCUGGACACACCCAAGGAGGAGGAUGACACACCUGCAGCUGAUCUGGAUCGUCGGGGCGCUACAUAGCAGUGUGGCUGAGAGCUCGACACUGGAUUGUUGCGUGACUUCCCGUCAGUUUCUCAGCUACUGUGUGAAGUAAGUGCUGCAGUCUGCCGCUGUGUGACGGUGUUCUGACAAAACUUCCUACUUUGGCAAAACGUCCUACCGAGGAUUAUCGGAAAGGAGGAAGCAGCGAACGGAUUGUACACAGGGAACUGAGACACGGAGCACGGGCGCAGGGAGAAGACACGAAACGGGAGUCGGAGCACACGGGGAUUUAUUGUUUGCCUUUUAUUUUUUACUUAACUGUAAAUAAAGACACCUUUUCAUCGCACAAGUCCUGCUUUUUGGGUUCUACUUUCCCAUAUCCCCACGGUCUGCAACCCCAGACUGUGACAAUGUCCUUUGAGCUUUGUAUUAAAUUAUCUCUUUUACAGUAAUUUGAGAUUUGUGGUAACAGUGCAAACAUAACAUGUAUGUGUUACAUUAGCAGACAAAUUGAAAGAUGUCUAACAGUUAUUUUAUCUUUCAGAUAAGAUAACCGUCAGUAUGGCAAACAUAAUGGACUACUAGAUGCCAUUUAGAGGAUGAAGCAGGUGCAAUAGUGCCACCUCUCUGUAUAAUAAAUUUUUUAUGUCCUGUU